UAGACACCGAAGGCGCGGGAUAGCAUUUAAGAAAGUAUCGGUAGGGGAGCAUACUCACAGCGUUGAAUGGUGUACGUAAGUUAUCCUGGAGCGGUGAGUAAAGCAAAUGUAGGAAUAAGUAACGAUAAGGAGGGUUAGAUUCCCUCCCGCUGUAAGACCAAGGUUUCCCGGGCAAUGCCAAUCAGCCCGGGGUCAGUCGGGUCCUAAGUCUAAGCCGAACGGCGAUGGCGAUGGCAGAGACGGUUAAUAUUCCGUCACUGCCGCAUGGGGCGACGUGGAGACGGAGCAGUGAAACCACCGCGGGGCGACGGAAGUCCCCGUUGAAGAGUGUAGGCGUUGAGGAUGGCAGGCAAAUCCACCGUCCGAGCUGAACUUGAUAGUAUGGAGCCUUCUUCGGAGGAAUCCAAUAGUGUGGGUAAUCAUACUCCCGAGAAAAUCCGCUAAGCUUAACCCAUGCGGCACCCGUACCGCAAACGGACACACGUGGUCGGGUAGAACAUACUGAGGCGUUGAGAGAUUCAUGGUUAAGGAACUAGGCAAAUUGACCCUGUAACUUCGGGAUAAAGGGUCCUCGUGAAGAGCGAGGCGCAGAGAAUAGGUCCAGGCAACUGUUUAACAAAAACACAGGGCUGUGCAAAACUCGAAAGAUGACGUAUACAGCCUGACACCUGCCCGGUGCCGGAAGGUUAAGAGGAGAUGUCACACUUAUGUGGAAGCAUCGAAUUGAAGCCCCGGUAAACGGCGGCCGUAACAAUAACGGUCCUAAGGUAGCGAAAUUCCUUGUCGGGUAAGUUCCGACCUGCACGAAUGGUGUAAUGAUCCGGACGCUGUCUCAACCAUGAGCUCAGUGAAAUUGUAGUAUCGGUGAGGAUGCCGAUUACCCGCGAUGGGACGAAAAGACCCCGUGAACCUUUACUACAGCUUAGCAUUGACCUUGGUCAUCCGAUGUGUAGGAUAGGCCGGAGGCUUCGAAGCGGGAGCGCCAGCUUUCGUGGAGCCAUCCUUGAAAUACGGCCCUUUGGCUGUCUGAGGUCUAACGCGCGAUGCGCGGACACUGCUUGGUGGGUAGUUUGACUGGGGUGGUCGCCUCCAAAAGCGUAACGGAGGCUUCCAAAGGUGCCCUCGGGUCGAUUGGUAACCGACCUCAAAGAGUGCAAUGGCAUAAGGGCGCUUGACUGGGAGGCAGACAUGCCGAGCAGGCAGGAAACUGGGGCAUAGUGAUCCGGCGGAUGUGUAUGGAAACUCCGUCGCUCAAAGGAUAAAAGGUACUCCGGGGAUAACAGGCUGAUCCCCCCCAAGAGCUCAUAUCGACGGGGUGGUUUGGCACCUCGAUGUCGGCUCGUCACAUCCUGGGGCUGGAGAAGGUCCCAAGGGUUGGGCUGUUCGCCCAUUAAAGUGGCACGCGAGCUGGGUUCAGAACGUCGUGAGACAGUUCGGUCUCUAUCUAUCGUGGGCGUGGGAGUUUUGCGUGGUGCCGUCACUAGUACGAGAGGACCGUGAUGGACAGACCUCCGGUUUACCAGUUGUGCCGCCAGGCGCACCGCUGGGUAUCUGAGUCUGGAUUGGAUAAGCGCUGAAAGCAUCUAAGUGCGAAGCCAGCCGCAAGAUGAGAACUCCAUUGAGGGUCGUCAGAGACGAUGACGUUGAUAGGAUGCAGGUGUAAAGACAGCGAUGUCAAAGCCGAGCAUUACUAAUUGCCC
rnacentral:rRNA from 1 species